rnacentral:rRNA from 1 species
GAACCGACUAAUGUUGAAAAAUUAGCGGAUGACUUGUGGCUGGGGGUGAAAGGCCAAUCAAACCGGGAGAUAGCUGGUUCUCCCCGAAAGCUAUUUAGGUAGCGCCUCGUGAAUUCAUCUCCGGGGGUAGAGCACUGUUUCGGCAAGGGGGUCAUCCCGACUUACCAACCCGAUGCAAACUGCGAAUACCGGAGAAUGUUAUCACGGGAGACACACGGCGGGUGCUAACGUCCGUCGUGAAGAGGGAAACAACCCAGACCGCCAGCUAAGGUCCCAAAGUCAUGGUUAAGUGGGAAACGAUGUGGGAAGGCCCAGACAGCCAGGAUGUUGGCUUAGAAGCAGCCAUCAUUUAAAGAAAGCGUAAUAGCUCACUGGUCGAGUCGGCCUGCGCGGAAGAUGUAACGGGGCUAAACCAUGCACCGAAGCUGCGGCAGCGACACUGUGUGUUGUUGGGUAGGGGAGCGUUCUGUAAGCCUGUGAAGGUGUACUGUGAGGUAUGCUGGAGGUAUCAGAAGUGCGAAUGCUGACAUAAGUAACGAUAAAGCGGGUGAAAAGCCCGCUCGCCGGAAGACCAAGGGUUCCUGUCCAACGUUAAUCGGGGCAGGGUGAGUCGACCCCUAAGGCGAGGCCGAAAGGCGUAGUCGAUGGGAAACAGGUUAAUAUUCCUGUACUUGGUGUUACUGCGAAGGGGGGACGGAGAAGGCUAUGUUGGCCGGGCGACGGUUGUCCCGGUUUAAGCGUGUAGGCUGGUUUUCCAGGCAAAUCCGGAAAAUCAAGGCUGAGGCGUGAUGACGAGGCACUACGGUGCUGAAGCAACAAAUGCCCUGCUUCCAGGAAAAGCCUCUAAGCAUCAGGUAACAUCAAAUCGUACCCCAAACCGACACAGGUGGUCAGGUAGAGAAUACCAAGGCGCUUGAGAGAACUCGGGUGAAGGAACUAGGCAAAAUGGUGCCGUAACUUCGGGAGAAGGCACGCUGAUAUGUAGGUGAAGUCCCUCGCGGAUGGAGCUGAAAUCAGUCGAAGAUACCAGCUGGCUGCAACUGUUUAUUAAAAACACAGCACUGUGCAAACACGAAAGUGGACGUAUACGGUGUGACGCCUGCCCGGUGCCGGAAGGUUAAUUGAUGGGGUCAGCGCAAGCGAAGCUCUUGAUCGAAGCCCCGGUAAACGGCGGCCGUAACUAUAACGGUCCUAAGGUAGCGAAAUUCCUUGUCGGGUAAGUUCCGACCUGCACGAAUGGCGUAAUGAUGGCCAGGCUGUCUCCACCCGAGACUCAGUGAAAUUGAACUCGCUGUGAAGAUGCAGUGUACCCGCGGCAAGACGGAAAGACCCCGUGAACCUUUACUAUAGCUUGACACUGAACAUUGAGCCUUGAUGUGUAGGAUAGGUGGGAGGCUUUGAAGUGUGGACGCCAGUCUGCAUGGAGCCGACCUUGAAAUACCACCCUUUAAUGUUUGAUGUUCUAACGUGGACCCGUGAUCCGGGUUGCGGACAGUGUCUGGUGGGUAGUUUGACUGGGGCGGUCUCCUCCUAAAGAGUAACGGAGGAGCACGAAGGUUGGCUAAUCCUGGUCGGACAUCAGGAGGUUAGUGCAAUGGCAUAAGCCAGCUUGACUGCGAGCGUGACGGCGCGAGCAGGUGCGAAAGCAGGUCAUAGUGAUCCGGUGGUUCUGAAUGGAAGGGCCAUCGCUCAACGGAUAAAAGGUACUCCGGGGAUAACAGGCUGAUACCGCCCAAGAGUUCAUAUCGACGGCGGUGUUUGGCACCUCGAUGUCGGCUCAUCACAUCCUGGGGCUGAAGUAGGUCCCAAGGGUAUGGCUGUUCGCCAUUUAAAGUGGUACGCGAGCUGGGUUUAGAACGUCGUGAGACAGUUCGGUCCCUAUCUGCCGUGGGCGCUGGAGAACUGAGGGGGGCUGCUCCUAGUACGAGAGGACCGGAGUGGACGCAUCACUGGUGUUCGGGUUGUCAUGCCAAUGGCACUGCCCGGUAGCUAAAUGCGGAAGAGAUAAGUGCUGAAAGCAUCUAAGCACGAAACUUGCCCCGAGAUGAGUUCUCCCUGACCCUUUAAGGGUCCUGAAGGAACGUUGAAGACGACGACGUUGAUAGGCCGGGUGUGUAAGCGCAGCGAUGCGUUGAGCUAACCGGUACUAAUGAACCGUGAGGCUUAACCUUACAACGCCGAAGGUGUUU